rnacentral:rRNA from 1 species
UACGGGGGGGCAAGCGUUGUUCGGAAUUACUGGGCGUAAAGGGCGCGUAGGUGGCCUCCUAAGUCGAACGUGAAAUCCCUGGGCUCAACCCAGGAACUGCGUCCGAGACUGGGAGGCUUGAAUCCGGGAGAGGGAUGCGGAAUUCCAGGUGUAGCGGUGAAAUGCGCAGAUAUCAGGAAGAACACCCGUGGCGAAAGCGGCUCUCUGGAACGGUACUGACGCUGAGACGCGAAAGCGUGGGGAGCGAACAGG